rnacentral:rRNA from 1 species
CCCUGCAGUUCUCACCUGGUUUCCCACUGAAGCUAAGCAGGGUUGAGUCUGGCCAGUACCUGGAUGGGAGACCUCCUCCUGGGGAGGUCCACUUGCUGCAGGAA